UACAGAGGGGGCGAGCGUUGUUCGGAAUUACUGGGCGUAAAGCGUGCGCAGGCGGUUGGGCAAGACAGGUGUGAAAUCCCCGGGCUUAACCUGGGAACUGCAUUUGUGACUGCACGGCUAGAGUGUAUCAGAGGGGGGUAGAAUUCCACGUGUAGCAGUGAAAUGCGUAGAUAUGUGGAGGAAUACCGAUGGCGAAGGCAGCCCCCUGGGAUAACACUGACGCUCAUGCACGAAAGCGUGGGGAGCAAACAGG
rnacentral:rRNA from 1 species